rnacentral:lncRNA from 1 species
UGAGCACGAUGAUCAGCAAUUUUCUACGAUCACCGUGCUCCCUUCCGCAGAGAUCGGGGAGGCUCGGGUUGCUCGGAACAGUAACCUACUCAACUAAGCCCUAUUUCGGGCUUGGCCGGAGCAAGCUUGCUCCGGCCGGCCACCGGCGGCACGGCGGGGUGCGCGCGGGCCAGGGAAGGUUGCGGGGGAGGUGAGGAGUACCAAGCUCACCUCGGGUGGCGGCUGGAAGCGGCGGANAUGGUCUGUGUACCGGUACACAACCACGUACCGGUACAGCCAUCAACCCCGUACCGGUACAGCAAGCGAACCCGUACCGGUACGCGGCCUGCUGAAGGCUACCCGAGAGCUGACCAAAAAUCCUACUUUUUGGAUUUUGGUACACAGCUUUAAACCACAAUUCUCGGGACUCGAACCAUAGGUCGGAACACUGUCAACGACCUACCAGAAAGUCUGGAAAAGUUCGACACACAGAUCAAGCACUCGAACCUCGCAAUUUGCAAAGGUCCAGUGUGUUACAGCCGGCCACCGGCGGCACGGCGGGGUGCGCGCGGGCCAGGGAAGGUUGCGGGGGAGGUGAGGAGUACC